AUCAGAUCUAUUAAAACACUUGGGUAUUGUCUCAUGUUGUAAAUCUGAUUAAAGGUUGUUGUUGGUGCUUUGAAUAUAUUUUAAUAUAAUAUAAUAAUUACUGUAACUUUCUUUUCUGCUCUCUCAGUCCCUGCUGUACAAUUGUACAAGCAUUUACAUACUACAUUUAGACACAAGAUGUACAUUUAGAUUUAAUGUAGUGUGAAUUAAAAAAUUAAAUGUCACUGUGUGUAGUACUCUUAAUUGUCAAUAAAAAAGAGUUGCACCAUAAUUAUACUUGACUACAGUAAUUGGUGAGUGACUAAUUAUUAUCAUAACUUCAAUUUGUUCUCCAUUUUGGCAUCCUGUGCCAUCUCUUCUGGCACCUAUAUUAAACAAAUAAAUCCUGCAAAAA